GAAUUAAUAUUUAAAAAUAAUUUAUUUUUCGAAACAUCCUGUACAGUAAUAAAAAAAUGUAUUAAAAUAUUCUAAAAUAAUACGUCCAAAUUUCAUUAUAAUCUUCGACACCAAUCUCAGGUUUUAUGUCAGCUAGAAAAUUCAAAUUCUAGAAGUAUUUUAUACUUCAAUGAUGCAAAAUAAGCGUGUUACUUGCGAGAAGGUUUGUUUUCAUUACUUUAUAAAAGAACACCUAAAAGGUGAAUACUUUACGCAGGUUUCGCGCCAAAUAUUCGAAAUUAUUUACACAGUCAGCAAUUGAUUCGUUGACGAUUGAUUGGUGAGACAUCUGCCGAGGCGUCUGUGAUGCACGAAGACGUACUUCUUGUGGUUCUUGACGCGACGAUGACUGUACGUCGGUGAAAACUUCAUUCUUGCGGGUACAAAUUUACAGUUACGACGAAGAAAUAAUUGUGCAGACGCGUGUGAGAUGCAGAUGCAGCUGUGGUUCAUAUGCACAUAUACAUACGGAUACGUAUAUCGUGCGUGAUACAAAUAUACGUGUGAUUGUGUAUGUAGAUGCACAAAUGCGCGAGCUCUCUAAGUACCACAUAAAGUGUUAAUUAGACGAUUAUGUCGCCGAUGUUGCGAGAAUGAGUGAAUGUGUUGAAAACGAGAAUGAGAGAGAAGAAAGAAUGAAUUCAAGAGUAAAAUUGAAAUAUGAAAUUAAAUAAGAAGAACGAGAGAAAUAGAGUAUGUGUUAUGAGUGGAAGAGAAAGAGAAUGAAGACCACAGAGAAAACAUGCAGGUAUAUAUAAUCAGUGUUUAUGAACAAUCAUUGUUCUUUGUUUGAAAGGAGACAAAGCUGUGGGUAUGAUCUUUGCUAAUUCAUAUUAUCUAUGAUAUUCAAUAAAAAUUAUUUAAAUAUUGGUAGAUGCACUUUAUCUUCGAGCAACGUUAAAUUAUUAUUUUUUACGUCCAAUCGAUUGGGUGAUUUUUUGUGUUUAGAUAAGACGCGCAUAGAUGUUUCUAAACGUAUUUUUGUCAACUUUUGGCAUCGUUAAUCGUUACAAACGUAAUAUUUCGUAUUGUUCGCUCAUUGUACAAUAUUUCGAACAUAUCGUGUUCAUAGUAGCCAAGAAUCGUUGAUCCUUGUUUUCGUACAACGAUUAUUCUUCAGAUAGUUUCUUCUUUUUUGUCACAAAAAUAUAGGUGAAAUAAAACAUUGGUUAACGAAAAAAUUUGCGCUUCCGUCAUUUUACAUGAUAGCAGAUCGGUCAGAAGUUGAAUUUUUUUACUGAAAUCUAACCUAAAAAUACAAGAUUGAGGACGUGCAAUGGCGAGUGUGCCUUUUGCCAUAAUAUCGCAAAAAAAUUAUUCCUUUCUCAUUAAAACUGUUGAAAUUGUUAUAUAAGAUUGAUAUGAAUUUACUUAAAUAGAAAUUAAGUCUAAAAGGUCACUCUUUUUUUCAGCAAUAUCAAUGAGAUUUGGUUCCCUUGUCAUUGUCAACGUCCUUAUUGUAUGUAGUUGAAUGAUGCAGUAGUUUCAUAGGUAACGGUUGUUUCCACCGUUAGAUUUUGUUUAAAUCAUUGUUAUUUUGUCUUUUAUCUAUUUCCAUUCCGUAGCGAAGACUUGAAGCUUUGUAUAUGGUAUAUUUUAAUUUAUAAAUUAUAAAUCCAUUUUCAAAAUUUA